GGGGUCGUAGUCUAGCUUGGUUAGGAUACCAGCCUUGGGAGCUGGUGGUCGUGGGUUCAAAUCCCACCGACCCCA
rnacentral:tRNA from 1 species